GCCCCAUUGGCUUAGUGGAAGAGCAUCUCCCUCCUAAGGAGAAGACCCGGGUUCGAUCCCCGGAUGGGGCU